GACGAACGCUGGCGGCGUGCCUAAUACAUGCAAGUCGAGCGGACUUUCAAGAAGCUUGCUUUUUGAAAGUUAGCGGCGGACGGGUGAGUAACACGUGGGCAACCUGCCUGCAAGACGGGGAUAACUCCGGGAAACCGGGGCUAAUACCGGAUAAUAUCUUCCUUCGCAUGAAGGAAGGUUGAAAGGCGGCGCAAGCUGCCGCUUGCAGAUGGGCCCGCGGCGCAUUAGCUAGUUGGUGAGGUAACGGCUCACCAAGGCGACGAUGCGUAGCCGACCUGAGAGGGUGAUCGGCCACACUGGGACUGGGACACGGCCCAGACUCCUACGGGAGGCAGCAGUAGGGAAUCUUCCGCAAUGGACGAAAGGCUGACGGAGCAACGCCGCGUGAGCGAAGAAGGUCUUCGGAUCGUAAAGCUCUGUUGUCAGGGAAGAACAAGUACCGUUCGAACAGGGCGGUACCUUGACGGUACCUGACCAGAAAGCCACGGCUAACUACGUG
rnacentral:rRNA from 1 species